CCUACGGGUGGCAGCAGUGAGGAAUAUUGGUCAAUGGACGAGAGUCUGAACCAGCCAAGUAGCGUGAAGGAUGACUGCCCUAUGGGUUGUAAACUUCUUUUAUAUGGGAAUAAAAUGUUCCACGUGUGGGAUUUUGUAUGUACCAUAUGAAUAAGGAUCGGCUAACUCCGUGCCAGCAGCCGCGGUAAUACGGAGGAUCCGAGCGUUAUCCGGAUUUAUUGGGUUUAAAGGGAGCGUAGGUGGAUUGUUAAGUCAGUUGUGAAAGUUUGCGGCUCAACCGUAAAAUUGCAGUUGAAACUGGCAGUCUUGAGUACAGUAGAGGUGGGCGGAAGUCGUGGUGUAGCGGUGAAAUGCUUAGAUAUCACGAAGAACUCCGAUUGCGAAGGCAGUUCACUGGACUGCAACUGACACUGAGGCUCGAAAGUGUGGGUAUCAAACAGGAUUAGUACCCGAGUAGUC
rnacentral:rRNA from 1 species